GCCUGACUAGGUUUUUAUGCUCCACACUGCUAAUAAUGUUGACUUCAUUGUAGAAAUCGGCUGCUCUGUGUCGAUUGUUAAAGAAUAGCCUCUUGAUAGCAAUCUCUCGUCCAUCCGGUAAAUCACUACCUUAUAAACUGUCCCGAAUCCACCUUGUCCGAGCUUGUUGGCAUCGUUGAAAGAUCCAGUAGCACGCUCAAGCGUGGAAUACUUGAAAUUUAAGUUACUAUCACGAAGGAGUUUCACAAACUUUUCUGCAUCAUUUGAACCUGGGAAUGCAGGCAACACAUAUCGAAUCAUACCCCCAUAAUCAAGCUCGAAGAUUUAUCGAACACGAAAAUUUU